rnacentral:rRNA from 1 species
UACGUAGGUGACAAGCGUUGUCCGGAUUUACUGGGCGUAAAGAGCGCGCAGGCGGUCGAUCAAGUCGAGUGUGAAAGCCCCCGGCUCAACUGGGGAGGGUCAUUCGAUACUGAUCGACUCGAAGGCAGGAGAGGGUAGUGGAAUUCCCGGUGUAGUGGUGAAAUGCGUAGAUAUCGGGAGGAACCCCAGUGGCGAAGGCGACUACCUGGCCUGUUCUUGACGCUGAGGCGCGAAAGCUAGGGGAGCAAACAGG